AUCCUCUAGUUUUGCUAAAGCCAGUGUCAGUUUGGUUUCUCUCACUUGCAGUUAAAAGAGUUCUGAUGGAUAAAGAUGUAAAUCAGUUGUUCCCAAACUUUUUCGAUUCACAGCACCUUCAGUAAUUUUCUCACAGCGCUCUAGGCCAAAAGAAAUACCUAGCAGUUCCAUUUAUUACGUAGUUAGGUUCAAUUUAAUAAACAUUUAUGUCCUAACAAAUGAGUAGCUGUUUGAAAAUAUAAUACACAGAAAUUGAAAGAAAAAAUUUGUAUUUCAUUCUUAGCCAGUUACUUACGGCAUGUGUGCGACUGUGAGGCAUUGCACAACUUUUCAAACUUUGGAGUCAGAUGGGACGAUGCCGUGCUUACUUCCUAUUCCACAUUCAUUUGUGUGCUGUGCUUGCAGUAUCAUGGCAACUGCUAAAACUCAGCAUCACAAAAUAUAGCAUCACCAAAAUGAAUGUAGUAUGAUUAAUGUUAGACUGUAAAUUAUCUUGAACUAGUAAUUUGCACAAUGUCUGAGAGUUGUCAAAUAUCAAUAUUCCUGUCAAAAAUUUUAAAGAUCCCACAGCUCCCAGACACACACUUUUCCAAUGAGUUCACUGCGGCUCCCCAGGGCUCAGCGCACAACCCGGGAACCACAGGUGCAACGUGUUCCCUGCCCAGAAGUCACAAGGCCGGAAUAAACAAUCUCCUACAGUUCCUUCUAGAUCAAAGAUUUAUAAUUCUGUGAUUCAAGGUCCCAGGCAAAAUCCCCAAUCCCAGUUCUAUUUCCUGCUUUUACCUAAAUCAAUAGCUUUUCCUUUUUAAUGCCUUUGGCUCCAUACCCACUGUGGCCACAUUAAGUAAUUUUACUGAUUACCAUACCCAAGGUACAGUCUCCAAGAUAUGCAUACAUACUAGGGUGUUUGUUUCUGCGCUGUCUGCUAUAGCAACCAACACAACGCAAGUAUCCAUAAAUAGUAGAGUGUAUCCAUAUAAUGGAACACCAGGGAACAAUUUUCAUUCAUUUGUUUAACAAAUACACAGUGCUUGCUACACACCAUGCACGGUUCCAAGGGUGUUACAAAUAUUAACUUAUUUAAGUUAUUAUCAAAAAGAAUGAUGAUCUGUAGUGAGCUCCAAAAUAGUCCUAAGUGGGGAAAAAAAUAAAGUGCAGGAUAAUGUGUAUAGGAUAACUCCUUUGGUUCAGAUUUUGUAGAAUUAAGUAGAUAGACAGGUGAGGAUAUAUAAAAGUAAAAUCAUUUAUAAGGAGAAUCCGAACAAAAUGUUAAUAGUGAUUACCUUUGGGAGUUGGACUAGGAGUGGGAAAAGUUCCUGCUUUUCAUUCUUCAUUUUUUUUAUACUGUUGAGUUUUAUAAACAUGAGCAUGUCUUACUUUUAAUUUUUUUUCAAGUCAACUGGUUGAUGGAAAAAUGGGCUUUUUUGUUUUUGUUUUUUCUUUAUUAAAAAAGACUAAAUACACACACAUACAAUUUUCAAGCCAAAUAAAAUUAAAGUAUGAGACUAGAUUAGUGGUCACCAAAUGCCAUAUACCGUGCUAAGUGAGAACCACCUAAGGACAGUUUAAAAAACGUUGCUUCGGGGUCCCAUCACAGACUUACUGAAUUAGACUCCAGAGGGGCCUCCCCCACUCCCAUUUCCCAGGUGAUUUGAAUGUGCAGCCCGCUUUGGGAAUCCCUGAUCUCUAAGGCCUCUACCACUCUUCCUAGCUCCAUGAUUUGGGAACUGAUUCCUCCGUGCUCUGUAGCCAGUCUAAGUCAGAUGUGGGCACAUUCUAGGAUGGAGGAGAAGCCUCUAGCGAGGCUCUCAGGGCCACAGGAUUAUAAGGCAGGGGGCCUGCCCCGGAGGAAGAGGCACAGGCUGGCCCUGCCUCAGCCUCAGAAACAUGGUCACUUUCUCCAAGGUCUAAGGCAUAGAAGCAUGAGUCACAGGAGACGCACACUGUUAAAGAGGGACGGGGUGGGGAAAAUCAUUCGUUGUGGUCUCCUGAUUACAUCAAUAGCUAGCUUGCCUUGGGCCAAAAGAACCACACAAAAGCCCUUUCCGGUAAACCCAUUAACAUCAAACAGUCUCUGUAACUCCAAAUGCCAGGAACACAUAAUCUCCCUGGCUGAUUUUCAUAAGGAAAACCUGUCAUUUACGGGAACUCAGGCUUCAGGGCUCAUCCACAAGCUAGAACUAGCCUUGUUUCACAGGUGGCAAAAUUGAAGCCCAAAGGUCUUCCCCCACCUUCAAGCCCACCCGCUUCCAGAAUGAUCACUCAAAGACAUCAAUCUGAUCAGAUCACUGGCCCUAAUUAAAACAAAACAGAACAAAUCGAUGAAUAAAUGAAACUUUGUCUGUAACCUGUAUUCCAGACUGUACCACUAUUACUUUUUCACACAUGAAAUUGUUUAAAACCCAGUCACAAAAACAGAUAAAAUUGGAGCUCCUCUAGACUGCUGGGGAGUGCUCAGCGAGAGGGGUUUGGGGUCCUAUCCAGUAAGCAGAGCUGAAUCCUUAGAGGCCCUAAGCACUAGAGAUUAGGGUGCCCACCCCCUUCACAUAUAUAAUUCAAACUCAAAUCAAUACUAAGCCGUAACACCAAAAUGUACAUGUUAUAAUGAAAUUAAAGUCAUUUUUUUCUUCUAACUGAAAAGAUCUGAGAACAUAACUUUUCCCAGUUGUUUUUCUGGUGUCCCCACUUAGCACAGCCUGCUCACUUGGUACAGCACAGCUGUUCAGCUGCUCCUUGACUCCUUGGGCUCCUCAGAACACAGAUUGAAAGUCACAAGCUGUGAUGUUCUCCAAGGGCCCUUCAGGGCUCUAAGGCUGGCCAUACACGUGGCCAGGAGUCAGAGGGCACAGGGAGCUCCCUCUCUCUGUUUCAACCCUCUCAGUCCUCCAGCGUGUUCUCUGAUGAGCUGUUCCCUCCCAUGUAACAGAGGUUCCAGUAACUUCCACCUUUCCCCACUGUGAAAGAAAAGAUAUUUUCCCCCAAAUGAGAACUACACAAACCAUAUGUUCAGCACCAUUAAUGGCAUGCUAGAAAAAUUGGCUUGAGAAAAAGCAGGACUCGCUGACUUCUGUUUGACCUCAUCUGGCAUCUGGGUGACUGGCUCCUUGUGAGGGCAUAAAACUGUUUCUUGGUACAUCUAAUGAAUAACUAUAGAUCAAUAUGCUUAUUGUUUGCUUUGCAGAUAUAUUACUUGUGAUUUCUAAUGAAUACAUCAAGUUGGAAUAUGGCACAAGCCAUUCAUGUCACAAAUGUAACCUUAUCAUUGAUAAAAAUAUAAUGUUUUUAUGACCACGGAAGGUAAACCAGCAGUCAGGCCUAAAUUCUUGUUACUUCAAACUGGUAUACUUUAUCUAUUUACCUCAUUAAUAAAUAAUAAACUU
rnacentral:lncRNA from 1 species